GAUGAACGCUAGCUACAGGCUUAACACAUGCAAGUCGAGGGGAAACGGCAUUGAGUGCUUGCACUCUUUGGACGUCGACCGGCGCACGGGUGAGUAACGCGUAUCCAACCUUCCCAUUACUGUGGGAUAACCUGCCGAAAGGCAGACUAAUACCGUAUAGUCUUCGAUGACGGCAUCCGCUUUGACGUCAAGAUUUAUCGGUAAUGGAUGGGGUUGCGUCUGAUUAGCUUGUUGGCGGGGUAACGGCCCACCAAGGCGACGAUCAGUAGGGGUACUGAGAGGAAGGACCACCACAUUGGAACGGAGACACGGUCCAAACGACUGCGAGAGGCAGCAGUGAGGAAUAGUGGUCAAUGGACGGAAGUCUGAGCCAGCCAAGUAGCGUGCAGGAUGACGGCCCUAUGGGUUGUAAACUGCUUUUGUAUGGGGAGAAAGUUAGGGACAUGUCACUAUUUGCAGGUACCAUACGAAUAAGGACCGGCUAAUUCCGUG
rnacentral:rRNA from 1 species